ensembl:snoRNA
AAACACUGCCUUUGAACAUCAUGUCUUGUUUGUAGCUUCACUGUCCAAGCAACAGUGCUAGAGCAUAAGGACUUGUUAUAACUGGGGCUUUUCAGCUCUCAACUGCUCUAUUAAAACAAUAUACAUUU